rnacentral:sRNA from 1 species
GUAAUAGAAUAGGCAAUAGAUAUAGAUAAACUCAACGGUAGUCAGUAUUCCCGAAAGAGAGCGCUGUUUAUGACCGUUUUUCAAGCAUUGAUGUUCACUCGUUUUUAAGUUAAACACAAAAAAAGUAAAUCCAUCCUUGAGCCGGUAAGCGUUAAGGGUCUGGAUUUACUCAUCUUUGGUUAACUGAUCCCUCUUUGAGGGAACCGUUUAUUGCAUGA